UACGUAGGUCCCGAGCGUUGUCCGGAUUUAUUGGGCGUAAAGCAAGCGCAGGUGGUUUAUUAAGUCUGGUGUAAAAGGCAGUGGCUCAACCAUUGUAUGCAUUGGAAACUGGUAGACUUGAGUGCAGGAGAGGAGAGUGGAAUUCCAUGUGUAGCGGUGAAAUGCGUAGAUAUAUAGAGGAACACCGGUGGCGAAAGCGGCUCUCUGGCCUGUAACUGACACUGAGGCUCGAAAGCGUGGGGAGCAAACAGG
rnacentral:rRNA from 1 species